rnacentral:rRNA from 1 species
AAAACAUGUCUUUUUGAAAAUAAUAUAAAGUCUAAUCUGCCCACUGAUUUUAAAUUGAAGGGCUGCAGUAUAUUGACUGUACAAAGGUAGCAUAAUCAUUAGUCAUUUAAUUGAUGACUUGUAUGAAAGAUUGAAUGAGAUAUAUACUGUCUCUAGUUUAAUUAUAAAAUUUAAUUUUUUUAUUAAAAAGUUAAGAUAUUUUAAAAAGACGAGAAGACCCUAUAGAGUUUAAUUGAUUAUUAAUUUGAUUUUAUUUUGAAAAAUAAUAAUGAAAUUUAAUAGUUUAUUUUAUUGGGGUGAUAAAAAAAUAAAUAAAACUUUUUUUAAUAAAAAACAUUUAUAAGUGGGUAAAUGAUCCAAUAAUAUUGAUUAUAAGAAAAAAUUACCUUAGGGAUAACAGCGUAAUUUUUUUUUUUAGUUCAAAUAAGAAAAAGAGUUUGCGACCUCGAUGUUGGAUUAAGAUAAAAUUUAAAUGUAGAAGUUUAAAAUUUUGAUCUGUUCGAUCAUUAAAAUCUUACAUGAUCU